GAUGAACGCUGGCGGCGUGCCUAAUACAUGCAAGUCGAGCGAACAGACGAGGAGCUUGCUCCUCUGACGUUAGCGGCGGACGGGUGAGUAACACGUGGAUAACCUACCUAUAAGACUGGGAUAACUUAGGGAAACCGGAGCUAAUACCGGAUAAUAUAUUGAACCGCAUGGUUCAAUAGUGAAAGACGGUUUUGCUGUCACUUAUAGAUGGAUCCGCGCCGCAUUAGCUAGUUGGUAAGGUAACGGCUUACCAAGGCAACGAUGCGUAGCCGACCUGAGAGGGUGAUCGGCCACACUGGAACUGAGACACGGACCAGACUCCUACGGGAGGCAGCAGUAGGGAAUCUUCCGCAAUGGGCGAAAGCCUGACGGAGCAACGCCGCGUGAGUGAUGAAGGUCUUCGGAUCGUAAAACUCUGUUAUUAGGGAAGAACAAAUGUGUAAGUAACUAUGCACGUCUUGACGGUACCUAAUCAGAAAGCCACGGCUAACUACGUG
rnacentral:rRNA from 1 species